CGCGGUGAGAGGACGCCGCGGAGGGGCGGCAGCUUCUGUCUCGUCCAGAGGCGCGGGGCGAGGGACCCCCCACAAGGUGGAGGGAGGGGGUCGCAGCCGUAGCUACAAGUGCGGGAGUCGGGAGCGGGGGCGGCGCCGAGCGGGGCGGCACCUCGGCCACCCGCCCACGGCCUUAGCAUCUCGCCCUGGGGAAUAUGAGCCGGGACCCCCAGCUCGGCUACCCCGACCCCGGCCCCCGGUGUUGGGGGGGCUGAUGUGAAGCGGCAGCCGGGGCGGCGGGGACAGCAGGCCCCGCGCCGCCGUCCUUUCCUUCCCUCCCCCCGCCCCUCCGCCCCCUCGGGGACUUCUCCCUCGGCCAGUGGCCGGCCCCCAGCUCCGCGGCAGGACUGCGGGGCAGGUCUGAGAGCGCCCUCCCCCGCCCCGGGUUGGGGCACCCGGGGGACCCGCGGCUUCUGCCCAGAGGAAACUACGGAAACGAAAUCCGGAGCCUCCCAAACGUGACUGUCCGGGAACAAGUGGCCCGGGACGGGCCGAAGACCCAGCCUGAAGAGAUCCAGGAAGAGGAAGAGAGAGGAGGUAAUUGGGGCCGCCGCCUCCUCUGCUCCGCGGGCGCGGAAGACACCCGGGUGGCCGCCCGGCUUAGCGGUACCAGCGCCGCUGCUUCCUCGGUAACGCGCGGACCUGCCGCAGCUGCCGCCUCGCCCGGAGGAGGAAGGGAACCAGCCCACUUCCAGCGCUCCGCUCUUCUCUAACGUGACUGCUCUCCUUUUGGCGUGUGCCAGUGGCCAUGCAGGCGUGGUGACUCUCCUGGUGGAGUGAGGAUGCCAGCUCAGUGCACAGGACAGCAGGAACAAGACGGCCAUCAUGAAGGCCGCACAGUGCGAGGCGGGGGAGUGCGUGGCCAUCCCCGUCAAAAGUGGUGCCAACGUCAGCGCUGCAGACGUCAGCGGGAGCACUGCGCCCCAGUGCGCGGCAGCCCUUGCGAAGGCAUUGCAGCAGAGCUGCUGCCCCACCAUGCAGACAUGGAGGCAAUAAACAAGAUGGCAGCACCUUCUCUCCUGUUCUUGUUAAGAGAAGCUCUCAGGGAGCAGCUGGUGGUGAAGAGGACCAGGAGGAGGCAAUGUGAACAUGGAGGCUGGGGAAGAAAGAUGCUGGACUCCUUUAUUCUGUUACAGAAAGUUUGUGACCCCUGAUCUGCCCCACCUGUUCAUGACUCCCCCCUUCCCCCCUCUGCCAGCCACCUGUCUGUUUUCUGUAUUGAAGAGUCUGUUACUGCCUUUUUAUGUUUGGUCAUUAGUUUUGCUUCUUAGAUUCCACAUGUAAGUGACAUCACACGAUGUUUGUCUUUCUCUGGCUUAUGUCACUUAGCAUAGUACCUUCUAGGUGGAUCUGUGUUGUAGCAAGUGGCAAGAUUUCAUUCUCACAUAUGGCUGAAUAAAUUUCCAUCACAUAUGGGUACCACCUUGUUUGAAGUGUUUUGUUGGCUUGUUCUUCAGUCUGAUGCCUUUUUGCCAAAGUUACACUGACAAAGUUACAAGCCCUGUCUGUGUUCAACUACGUUUUUGUUAUUGACGUUUGGCAUCUCGUGAGGCACUUUUCCACUUCUCGGGGCAUCAGGUUUGAGCAGCCAGCUUCGCCUGCUACUUGCUCUCGUCAGUUGCGCAAAUGCCGUGGCUUUGUUUGUUGUUUCCCCGUCAUGGUGUGUUACACGUCACUCUGCCCUGUGACCCCCACAGCCCUGAACGUCUUCAGUGUUCCUGAGGCUCCUGUUCUUCUGACUCAGCCUCAGCUUCUGUCCUGGAGGAAUUUGGGGGGAAGGCAAGGGAGCGCGUAGUUGGCCCGCAGUUUUCUUUCGCUUUCUCCUGACUUCU